AUAAGUAAGGUCGAACCUUACUAACCCCUAGAGCAAGCACACAGGUGUCAGUGAUAAGGAAAAACUCACUCUGAUGAUAUUGAGGAAGAAACGUCAAGCAGACCAGACUCAAAGGGGAGACCCUCUGCUUAGACCAUUCUAACAGUUACCAGGUU